rnacentral:rRNA from 1 species
UACGUAGGGGGCGAGCGUUAUCCGGAAUCAUUGGGCGUAAAGGGCGCGUAGGUGGUGAUGUAAGUCGGAUGUGAAACCGCUGGGCUCAACUCAGCGCCUGCAUUCGAAACUGCAUUGCUUGAGUACAGGAGAGGAAGGCGGAAUUCCCAGUGUAGCGGUGAAAUGCUUAGAUAUUGGGAAGAACACCGGUGGCGAAGGCGGCCUUCUGGACUGUUACUGACACUGAGGCGCGAAAGCCAGGGGAG